rnacentral:lncRNA from 1 species
GUUACUUUGUGGACGCCAUCUUUAUUGUGUUUUGUAAUUCCAAUCAUGCCCACAAAGUGUUGUGCAACAGGGUGUGGAACGGGCUAUGACAACGAGCCACAACGGUCUGAGAAUACGAUCCAUCUGUGGCCAAACAAAGAGAUAAACCCCAGACAGCAUACUGCCUUGCUAAGAGCCAUUCCAAGAGAAACAGAUCUGAAGAAGACAGAUUAGGCACCAUCAAAAAGUACAAAGUUGUGUUCCCUGCAUUUCAACGAAUCUGAUUUCAUCUGUGAGUCUAAAAGAAGUCAGACCCUUGGCAAGGCUCUAUAGAAGAGGUACCUCAAACCAGAUGUAUUACCAUCCCUAUGACCAAACUGUCCCAACUACCUCUCAACUCCCAAAGCUUCAUCAAGGCCAACUCAAGCUGCGACCACGUAAUGUAGGGCUCAACAGUGCAAUAAAAUGAGUUCUGUCGAAGAACUCUUUGACAAAUUGACCAAGGAGACACUCCCAUCAUACUUCAUCCUCAUCUUACAACCAAGUGAUGCCGUUUUAAAGCUAUCCCAUGAUGAGAAAUUGGGCCCCAAGUAGUAGCCAGCAUCAAGUUUGAGACAGAUAUGUCAUUCAAAAUGUACCACUCUGGUGU